UUCGGGGACAUUGGUGACAGGUGGUGCAUGGUUGUCGUCAGCUCGUGUCGUGAGAUGUUGGGUUAAGUCCCGCAACGAGCGCAACCCUUGUCUUUAGUUGCCAUCAUUAAGUUGGGCACUCUAGAGAGACUGCCAGGGAUAACCUGGAGGAAGGUGGGGAUGACGUCAAAUCAUCAUGCCCCUUAUGCUUAGGGCUACACACGUGCUACAAUGGGUAGUACAGAGGGUUGCCAAGCCGUAAGG
rnacentral:rRNA from 1 species